rnacentral:rRNA from 1 species
AUCGAACGCUGGCGGCAGGCCUAAUACAUGCAAGUCGAGCGAGCGGCGGACGGGUGAGUAAUGUAUGGGAAACUGCCUGAUGGAGGGGGAUAACGACUGUAAACGGUAGCUAAUACCGCAUAACACCAGAUGUGCCGAGAUGGGAUUGGCGAGUAGGUGGGGGAAUGGCUCACCUAGGCGACGAUCCCUAGCUGGUCUGAGAGGAUGACCGGCCACACUGGAACUGAGACACGGCCCAGACUCCUACGGGAGGCAGCAGUGGGGAAUAUUGCACAAUGGACGCAAGCCUGAUCCAGCCAUGCCGCGUGUGUGAAGAAGGCCUUCGGGUUGUAAAGCACUUUCAGCGAGGAGGCGUUACUCGCAGAGGAAGCACCGGCUAACUCCGUGCCAGCAGCCGCGGUAAUUC